GUGCUCGCUUCGGCAGUACACAUGCUAAAAUUGGAACAACAUAGAAGAUUAGCAUGGCCCCUGUGCAAGGAUGACACACAAAUUCGUGAAGCAUCCCAUAAAAAU